CCAAUGUUUGUCUAUGGAGAUUGCAUGGCAGUGUGCUCGGUUUUAUAUACCUGUCAGCAACGGAUUUAGCUGAAAUAGCUGAAUUCAAUCAUUUGAAGGGGUGUCCACAUACUUUUGUAUAUUUGGUCCAGUUGAAUGAUUUCUAUUAUCUAGGAUUUCUGGGUCAUAUUCAUUAGUGCACACUGUAGCAAAACCUUUUGCCACGGAUAACAAAAACGAGCCUAUCUUAUUGGACAACCUUAGCUUCUACCUACCUACCUCCCUUGUACAAUUUGAAAGUAAUGAUCUAUUAUUAUAAUAUGGACAGACUGCUCUCUACUCUUAUCAAAAUACUCUUUUGUUUUAUGCGUUCUUAUGCUCUGUGACCCCUGACCCCACCAAAACAAAUGCCUAAACUCUUUGUCGGUGCAGUGAGGUACUAGUCACACCAAAAUGAACUUUGUCUGUGCAGUGAGGUACUAGUCACACCAAAAGGAACUGGGGGGGGGGGUUAGGACAUGUUAUUGAUAUACAGUACCAGUCAACAGUUUGGACACACCUACUCAUUCCAGGGUUUUUCUUUAUUUGUACUAUGGUCUACAUUGUAGAAUAAUAGUGAAGACAUCAAAACUAUGAGGUAACACAUAUGGAAUCAUGUAGUAGCCAAAAAACGUAUUCCCUCCAUCCCUGUUUAAGGUAGAAGGGGAGAGCGAGGGCUGAAUGCCAAAUCACUCCCUUUCCCUCAGCCCUCCAUUUGCACGUUCACGCUCGCCUCUGACAUUUGCACAAGUGUCCCAAAGCUGAGGGAGUGAAAAUUAUCGAGGGUGUAGGGGCUCAUUGGACCUCAGAUCGCCACUUUGACAAAGCCAGCUAGGAUUAAGAGCAAAGUGAUAUCCCAACAUGCACUGCAAUAUCUUUGUGCAAUUUCAAUAAAUAAAAAAAUGGAGAGGCAUGCAUAAUUAUAUGCCACGUG